GACGAACGCUGGCGGCGUGCUUAACACAUGCAAGUCGAACGGAAAGGCCCUGCUUUUGUGGGGUGCUCGAGUGGCGAACGGGUGAGUAACACGUGAGUAACCUGCCCUUGACUUUGGGAUAACUUCAGGAAACUGGGGCUAAUACCGGAUAGGAGCUCCUGCUGCAUGGUGGGGGUUGGAAAGUUUCGGCGGUUGGGGAUGGACUCGCGGCUUAUCAGCUUGUUGGUGGGGUAGUGGCUUACCAAGGCUUUGACGGGUGGCCGGCCUGAGAGGGUGACCGGCCACAUUGGGACUGAGAUACGGCCCAGACUCCUACGGGAGGCAGCAGUGGGGAAUAUUGCACAAUGGGCGGAAGCCUGAUGCAGCAACGCCGCGUGCGGGAUGACGGCCUUCGGGUUGUAAACCGCUUUCACCUGUGACGAAGCGUGAGUGACGGUAAUGGGUAAAGAAGCACCGGCUAACUACGUG
rnacentral:rRNA from 1 species